GUCCAUUACUAAAAAAGACUGCACAUAAAAAUACGUCUGUGCACACUUUAACUACCUGGAUUAACUUACACAUACCCCAAUAAAAUAAGUGUUUAUUGGUUAUAUAUUAGGCUGUAGACAAGGUCAACCUGAGGCCUGUUUCAUUAAACAAGUUUACCAAAUAAGCCAGGUUUAUUUCAGUUAGUCUAACUUAUUGUCAGCUGAUUUGAUUCCAAAUAAGUCAGACUAACUGAAAUAAGACUGGCUUAUUUGGUAAACUUGUUUUAUGAAACAGGCCCCAGCUAUAUGUCACACACUCUAAAAAAAAGAUGGUUCUUUACAUGUAGAACCAGUUCUAUUUAGAACCAUAACAUCCUGAAGAACCAUUUUAAUGCUGAAAUGGUUCUUUCUGUCAGAGUUUAGGGUUCUUUAUUCCCGCCCUUUUGUUUUUCAAAUCUGUAACUAUCAAAGCACUUCAUUACUGAGUUUCCGAAGUUCAGUGAUCCAAGACUGUCCACACACUCUCAACAGGUAAAUUAUUUCAUUCUUAAAUUUAAAUACAAAUGUAACUUUAUAAUUGUAUCUGGUUUUCAAACAAACAUGUUCUUUUCUCUUCUUUUUUGAUCACAUGUAAGUGUGAGCAGCUCCGGCUGAGGAUACUCCUCUUCUCCACUAAAGGCUACACUUAAAAAAAAGAUGGCUCAUUAGGCCUACUGAUUUUCUGAAGUUCAGUUAUCCAACUACGCAGACUGUCAACACACUCUCAGCAUGUAAAUUAUUUCUCUCUUAAAAUGUCUAUAAUUUUUAACUUUCAUAUUUUAACUGGUUUCUUACAAAUCAUGUAUUUUUCUCUUUUCAGUUUAAGAGAACAUGUAAGUGUGACCAGCCCCGUUCAAUUAAGGAUACUUCUCUCCUCUUCACCACCAAAUGCUGUCGCAUCCUUCAACAUCAUCAUCUGCAGAGAGAAACGGCCACUCGAUCACACCAAAAUACACAUAAUGAUGGACGUCCAGGCAUCAUAGAGGAUUAUGAAAUGACAGUAUUUCACUGGAACUUGGUCUUCAUUUCACUAUUUCCAGUUUCUAUUUUGUUUUACUUCUUUAAGUAUUUAUUUAUGUUCAAUGUCAAUUGUCAUUUAUUAAUGUAUUCUGCUAAUAACUGUUGUUAGAGCACUGUCAUUUUUGGUACAAAUUCACAUGUGAUUAAAAAAUAAAAGUACCUAAUUGACACGUUGUUGUUGUUGU
ensembl:lncRNA